AAAGUGGAGCAAUCCAUGAGUACAGUGGCGUACGGGUGAGUAACACGUGGAUCAUCUACCUCUUAGUGGGGAAUAACCCUGGGAAACCGGGGCUAAUACCGCAUAAGCUCUAGCGAGGAAAGCAGCAAUGCGCUGAGAGAGGAGUCCGCGGCCGAUUAGCUAGUUGGCAGGGUAAAAGCCUACCAAGGCAUAGAUCGGUAGCCGGCCUGAGAGGGCACACGGCCACACUGGCACUGAAACACGGGCCAGACUCCUACGGGAGGCAGCAGUGGGGAAUCUUGCACAAUGGGGGCAACCCUGAUGCAGCGACGCCGCGUGAGCGAUGAAGCCCUUCGGGGUGUAAAGCUCUUUCGGCAGGGAAGAUAAUGACGGUACCUGCAGAAGCAGCUGCGGCUAACUACGUGCCAGCAGCCGCGGUAAUACGUAGGCAGCGAGCGUUGUUCGGAGUUACUGGGCGUAAAGGGUGUGUAGGCGGUUGUUUAAGUUUGGUGUGAAAUCUCCCGGCUCAACUGGGAGGGUGCGCCGAAUACUGAAUGACUUGGAGUGCGGGAGAGGAAAGUGGAAUUCCUGGUGUAGCGGUGAAAUGCGUAGAUAUCAGGAGGAACACCGGUGGUGUAGACGGCUUUCUGGACCGUAACUGACGCUGAGACACGAAAGCGUGGGUAGCAAACAGGAUUAGAUACCCUGGUAGUCCACGCCCUAAACGAUGCAUAUUUGGUGUGGGCAGUUCAUUCUGUCCGUGCCGGAGCUAACGCGUUAAAUAUGCCGCCUGGGGAGUACAGUCGCAAGGCUGAAACUC
rnacentral:rRNA from 1 species